AUGAGGUCACGCACUCUGCUCAUCUCCGUGCUAGUUUUCUUUGUGAAGGAUGCCAGUGGAGACAUUGUGAUGACUCAGACUCCAGAAUCCCUGGCAGUGUCUCCAGGAGACAGAGUCACCAUCAACUGCAAAGCCAGUACCAGCAUUGGUAGUGAUAUAGCCUGGUACCAACAGAAAUCAGGACAAGCUCCUAAGCUCCUGUUCUAUGGUUCUUCCUCCCGUCCAUCCGGGAUCCCAGACCGGUUCAGUGGCAGUGGGUCUGGCACUGAUUUCACUUUGACAAUCACUAGUUUUCAAGCUGAUGACGCUGGCAGUUAUUAUUGUCAACAGGACUAUGACUGGCCUCCUGUGCACUCCGGCGGAUCAAAGCAAGAUCAGUGCUUUGUAAUAAGUGACAGCAAUAAAAAUGAUAGAACUUCUGAAAUGAUGCAAACCAAUCAGAUCUCCAUUUCUAGGCUCUGA